GUCGGGGGGAAGUGGAGGGUGCGGGCGUGGGCCGGGAGCAGUGGGCCGAAAGGGGGCGUAGGCGGCCUGGUAAGGGUGCGGUGAAAGCCCGUGGCUCAACCCCGGGUCGGCCGUGGCAACUGCUGGGCUGGAGCACAGUAGAGGCGGGUGGAAUUCCGGGUGUAGCGGUGGAAUGCGUAGAGAUCCGGAAGAACACCGGUGGCGAAGGCGGCCCGCUGGGCUGUGACUCUUCGGAGUCUUCAAGCUGACGCUGAGGCGCGACAGCGUGGGGAGCAAACAGGAUUAGAUACCCUAGUAGUC
rnacentral:rRNA from 1 species